CACGCCUCCGCCGCCGUGAGGCCCAGGAAGCCGAGGGAACGCUGUGGCUGAAAGGGACCUGGGUCCGCUCAGUCAGCCCGAGGUGGCUGUUGAUUGAGGGAGGUCGCGCCCUCCCAGUUACCUUCCCUGGUGGUUGUGCCGCUCGGUGUGACGCGGUCAAGGGGACGGCUACGCGAGAAUGGGGGAGUGGGGCGCCCGAGGCUGCUCCUGGGCCCUGGGAAGCCCCCGAUUAAUGAAUGGUCGGGUCAGCGACGCGAGGGUCGGGGUUUCUCUGAGGACCGCGCGCUGCACCUGCGGAGCCGGGUGAAUGGAUGUCGCGAAGGCAAGGGCUGCCCUUACCCCUCGGGGCCGACCUCGGAGCCCUCGCCCGUGGUUGCAACGCUUUCCCGGGAAACCGGAGAAGCCAGGCCGGGGGCUCGGCCUUUCUGAGGCGGCCCUUCCGGCGGAGGACACCGGCGGAAUUUGAGUGCACAGAGUGCGCGAGAGGAGCUCCCUGUAGACACACAGUCCAAGCCACGUAGGUGAGGAACGUGAAAUCCAACUUUUUGCAGCUAGUAUGAGGCAGAGCCAAGA
rnacentral:lncRNA from 10 species